rnacentral:rRNA from 1 species
GACGAACGCUGGCGGCGUGCUUAACACAUGCAAGUCGAACGAGGCCCUCUCUUCGGAGGGGUGUUCUAGUGGCGAACGGGUGAGUAACACGUGGGCAACCUGCCCCCGGCUCUGGGAUAA